UCCAUUUUCAUUUGUACCCUCUU
rnacentral:snRNA from 1 species